AUUGAACGCUGGCGGCAGGCCUAACACAUGCAAGUCGAGCGGAUGAAGGGAGCUUGCUCCUGGAUUCAGCGGCGGACGGGUGAGUAAUGCCUAGGAAUCUGCCUGGUAGCGGGGGAUAACGUCCGGAAACGGGCGCUAAUACCGCAUACGUCCUGAGGGAGAAAGUGGGGGAUCUUCGGACCUCACGCUAUCAGAUGAGCCUAGGUCGGAUUAGCUAGUUGGUGGGGUAAAGGCCUACCAAGGCGACGAUCCGUAACUGGUCUGAGAGGAUGAUCAGUCACACUGGAACUGAGACACGGUCCAGACUCCUACGGGAGGCAGCAGUGGGGAAUAUUGGACAAUGGGCGAAAGCCUGAUCCAGCCAUGCCGCGUGUGUGAAGAAGGUCUUCGGAUUGUAAAGCACUUUAAGUGGGGAGGAAGGGCAGUAAGUUAAUACCUUGCUGUUUUGACGUUACCAACAGAAUAAGCACCGGCUAACUUCGUG
rnacentral:rRNA from 1 species